rnacentral:rRNA from 1 species
UACAGAGGGUGCGAGCGUUGUCCGGAAUCACUGGGCGUAAAGGGCGCGUAGGUGGUGGCUUAAGCGUGCGGUGAAAGCUCGGGGCUCAACCCCGAGUCGGCCGUGCGAACUGGGCUCACUGGAGCAUAGUAGAGGCAGGUGGAAUUCCGGGUGUAGCGGUGGAAUGCGCAGAUAUCAGGAGGAACACCGGUGGCGAAGGCGGGCUCUGGCCGUACUGACGCUGAGGACGAAAGCGUGGGGAGCAAACAGG